rnacentral:rRNA from 1 species
CAAGGGCGUAUAUUAAUGUUGUUGCAGUUAAAAAGCUCGUAGUUGAAUUUCUGUCAGGAGUGACCGGGCCUUUGGAUGAACUUCCAUUGUUUUUUGCUCUGUUUGUCAUCUCUAGACAUCCUGAAAUAUUUUUUAAAAAUAUUUCUCUUUUACUGUUAGCAAAAUAGAGUGUUCCAAGCAAAGCGUAGUUUUGAAUGCAUUAGAAUGGAAUAAUAAGAUAGGACUUUGGUGCUAUUUUGUUGGUUUGCACACCAAGGUAAUGAUUAAUAGGGACAGUUGGGGGUAUUCGUAUUUAAUUGUCAGAGGUGAAAUUCUUGGAUUUAUGAAAGACGAACUACUGCGAAAGCAUUUACCAAGGAUGUUUUCAUUAA